AGCGAAUAGAUACCCGGGUAGUCCUGGCCCUAAACGCUGCUCGCUCGUUCUGCGGAGUAUCGACCCUCUGCGGGACUAAAGCUAACGCGGUAAGCGAGCCGCCUGGGUAGUACGAGCGCAAGCUUAAAACUCAAAGGAAUAGACGGGGACUCGCACAAGCGGUGGAUCAUGUGGCUUAAUUCGUCGGUAAGCGAAGAACCUUACCCAGGCUAGAAACCAAACUGCAUCCUUUCCGAAAGGAGAGGAGCCUUCGAGGGUGUUUGGCAGGUGAUGCAUGGUUGUCGUCAGUUCGUGGCUUGAGCUGUUCCCUUCAGUGGGGUAACGAACGCGACCCUCGUUGUCUGUUAUAUAUGUCAGGCGAGACUG
rnacentral:rRNA from 1 species